GGUCAAAAAGGGGAGGAAGAAAAAAAAAAGAUUUUCUGAAUUACAGGGAAAAAAAUUAAUAAUAAUCAUAAUAAAAGAUCUUAUGAUUUAUCAGACAACAGUGGUGAUGUCAUUGUAUCUGGGUCUUGUUCUAUCUGGUGAAAGCCCUUCUUCCAUUGCCUUUCUCUUGUUAUUGUUGGGUGGUUGUUGUUGUUGUGGUGGUGUUGGUGAAAGUGGGGAUUGUGGUUGUUGCUGCUGCAGCUGUGACUGAAUCUCUGAUUUUUCUACUAAUUGGAUUUCAUUACUUUCUUGGUUUUGGGUCUUUACUUUUGUUUUCAUCAUAUGAGGCUUAAGUCUAUUCAAAUCUGAUAAUUGCACUGGCUUCAAGAAAAACUCCUCUGCUCCUUCCUGUAAACAUCUUGUGAUCCUUGAAGGAACAUUCUCAGAUGACAUUAU
rnacentral:misc_RNA from 1 species